AGGCUCAGCAGUUAAGAACACUGGCUGAUAAUCAUGAGGGUGGUUUUCUUGGGGCGAGGCUCACCCAUUGCACUCUGGAUGUGCUGACCCCUGUGAUCUCCCCAAAUUCGGGAAACUUGACUGCAUAAUUUGUGGUAGUGGGGGACUGUGUUCACGCUCUCCCCUG